CAGUCUGAGGAUUCAUAAUCUGAGAGUUUUUGUUUUUGUUUUCCUCCCAGUACCCAGGCCGAGACAGAAAAGAAUCCCAGUUGUCCUGGGAGGACCCUUCCCCUCCGUUGGCUGAGGACGCAGUCCUCCGGAGGCCCUGGCUCUCUGCACCAAGUUUGGUUUGGACUCCCACCUCAAAUGGGAUCAAGGUCUUACUCUCAUGUGCAGAGGGCGCCCCGGGGCCUCAAGGUGAACGCAUGAAAUGACAACAAUUAAAUGAGAUCCAACUGAAAAAGUAGAAGCUGAAAGAAUACAAACCAGUGCUUGGGAAGGAGUCCAACUUGACUGGCCCGUUGGAUCGAGGGCCAUGGACUGGGGCUUAGUGGUAUCACUGCCCAGAGAGGAAAGCUCCUGGUGUAGAAAUCCUUCAUUCUAGUAUUCAUAAAUCGAACCAUGCAAGAUGCCUUACAGAUGCUUUCCUUUAACUUCCUGACUAUGCAGAUGAGGAAGCAGCGUUAAUGAGGUCACACUGGUGGCAGAUUGGACCUAGAACUCAGACCAUGAUAUUGUCAGCAACACUGUAGAUUCUGGAGGUUGAAUUCCAAAUCCCUGCACCAUCAAUGAUUAACUCUGUGACCCCGGGCAAGAUAUGGGCUAAGCUUCUGCUCCUGCUCUAGUGAAAAGGAGGAUGCUUGUCCUUGCUCCUUUGGGUGGUGAUCAAGACUGACAGGCUGGGCCAGAGUGAAUCCUCACCAGUGUCAUGAUUCCUACUGCUUUAGAAUUUGCCCAGGGAGAUUUAAGACUUGGAGGCAGCUUUUCUAACUCUGCAUCCAGUACUCUUUCUCUGGCAUCAAGUUGACUGGAAGGAUGGAAGGAAGUGAUGACAGAAUCUGAAAGAACACAGCCCCGGUCCUUAAUUGGUGAGCUGUACCUGGGACACACGCAGUCCUCUCAAUACGGUUCUCUCUAACAGGUACUAUUCCAGCAGUGAG
rnacentral:lncRNA from 1 species